UACAGAGGGGGCAAGCGUUGUUCGGAAUUACUGGGCGUAAAGGGCGCGUAGGCGGCCUUCUAAGUCGAACGUGAAAUCCCUGGGCUCAACCCAGGAACUGCGUCCGAUACUGGAAGGCUUGAAUCCGGGAGAGGGAUGCGGAAUUCCAGGUGUAGCGGUGAAAUGCGUAGAUAUCUGGAGGAACACCGGUGGCGAAGGCGGCAUCCUGGACCGGCAUUGACGCUGAGGCGCGAAAGCUAGGGGGGCAAACGGG
rnacentral:rRNA from 1 species